CUGUAAACCAUUCUGCGUCCCCCCCGGCCGGGGAGAAUGCGGGGAGACCGCGUUUAGAGGAUCAGUGGCGGCGGGCCCGCGCGGUGCCGGCGACUAGCAGCGAGAUGUCCUGGCCCCUUCCAGGUUUGGAGAUGGCCUUGGGAGAGCAACCUCCGGACCUCAGCAGUGUGAGGAUGACAACAGUACCCUGUGGUGCUGUCCCCACUCAGGGUUUCUCUCUGUAGCCCCGACUGUCCUGGAACUCACUCUGCAGACCAGGCUGUCCUCAAGCUCAGAGAUCUACCUGCCUCUGCCUCUGAAGUACUGGGAUUAAAGGUAUGUACUAGCAUUCUGGCAGGUCUGUGCCAAACUUGUUCUCAUUUGGGCCACAGCAAGGAUAUAGUAUCCCCUUAAACAAAAGAAGCAGGGGUCCAGCAUAAUGCAUCUUCCCAG
rnacentral:lncRNA from 1 species